rnacentral:rRNA from 1 species
CACGCCCUAAACGAUGUCAACUAGUUGUCGGGGAGGGUGACCUCUUUGGUAACGCAGCUAACGCGUGAAGUUGACCGCCUGGGGANACGCGAAAAACCUUACCUACCCUUGACAUGUACGGAAGCCCGAUGAGAGUUGGGUGUGCCUGAAAGGGAACCGUAACACAGGUGC